UUAUGCAGUAAAAGCACCUUGUGUUGUGAGCUUGUCAGAUCUCACUAGCUAAGCAGAGUUGUGACAGGUUAGUAUUUGCAUAGGAGGCUUUCCAAGAACGCCCACUUGCUGCAGGAA
ensembl:rRNA 5S_rRNA 5S ribosomal RNA